UACGGGGGGUGCAAGCGUUGUUCGGAUUUACUGGGCGUAAAGGGCGCGUAGGCGGCCAGCACAAGCCAGUUGUGAAAUCUCCGAGCUUAACUCGGAACGGUCAACUGAUACUGUGCGGCUAGAGUGCGGAAGGGGCAACUGGAAUUCUUGGUGUAGCGGUGAAAUGCGUAGAUAUCGGGAGGAACACCUGUGGCGAAGGCGGCCCCCUGGUUGGAUACUGACGCUGAUACGCGAAAGCGUGGGGAGCAAACAGG
rnacentral:rRNA from 1 species